AAGUAGGCAGAGAGGCAGGCAGAGAGAAGGGAGGAAGCAGACUCCCUGCAGAGCAGAGAGCCCAAUGUGGGGCUCCAUCCCAGGACCCUAAGACCAUGACCUGAGCUGAAGGCAGAGGCUUUAACCCACUGAGCCAACCAGGCGCCCCAAACAAUUCUACUUUUAUCAUUAUGAAUAGAUGAGGUGAAAUCAUAGAACAGAUCUGGACUUAAGAGAACAUUAAGAUGAGCCCCUUCAAUUAUAGGUAACUGUUACUUGCAAGUGAGGGACACUACCACACAAUCUGGGAAAUUUUAAUUUAAUCCUUGGAGGUAAGAGUUGUUCACAGAUUUAGAAGCCUACCUAGGACUCUGCUCUUCCCCAGGCCCACCCCAUGCCUCUUAGGAAGGCAUCAUUUUGGUGCCACUUGUCCUAGAGUCUCACCAUAUUUUGCAAGAGAAUUGGGGAUUGCCUGUCUGUCCCCAGUGCUACACUCUAUAAGUAAUUUAUGGUUAAAGACUGGGCCUUUUCAUACUUGUACCUCAGUGCUGAACACAUAGUGGGGCUUAAUAAAUAUUUGUUGAAUAAAUAAAUAUACUAGGAA